rnacentral:misc_RNA from 1 species
UAAUAAGUGUUUUAUGGCACUUUUUAGAUCCAUAUCCACCUUGUGUGCAAUGUCAGUCGAUCCUCUUCAUGGAGAUCGACCAAACAUCAACCUUUAUCUUUUAACUCUUUGUCUGAAAAAUAUUAUGAAUAAACAAUUCAAAAUA